rnacentral:rRNA from 1 species
UACGGAGGGUGCAAGCGUUAUCCGGAUUUACUGGGUUUAAAGGGUGCGUAGGUGGGUAGGUAAGUCAGUGGUGAAAUCUUCGAGCUUAACUCGGAAACUGCCAUUGAUACUAUCUGUCUUGAAUACUUUGGAGGUAAGCGGAAUAUGUCAUGUAGCGGUGAAAUGCUUAGAUAUGACAUAGAACACCAAUUGCGAAGGCAGCUUACUACAUAGUUAUUGACACUGAGGCACGAAAGCGUGGGGAUCAAACAGG